CUUCAUCUUACCUGACUUAUACAAUAUCGAAAUGGGUGGCUCGCAGUCAAAGAAUGAAGACAGGUAUUCAGGUAAAUUAAUACACAGAACUCACCUACAAGUAAGAUACUGUGGCUGUCCCUUGGUCAGGAGAUGUUAGCUCCCAGGCACAAGUCUAUUUCACAGCUGUGCCAAACUCCAUUCAGGUCAGCUUAUGCUACAAUAUAUUACCGUGCACCACUGAAGACAGUGCCCGCCAUUAAAAGUGUUUGCGAACCAUUAAAAAGGACUUCCGUCGUGUUUAAUAUGUGUGUCGUGUCAAUAAAAAA